GACGAAGGAUGCAAGCGUUAUCCGGAUUCAUUGGGAUUAAAGGGAGCGUAGGUGGACUGAUAAGUCAGUGGUGAAAUCUUUGGGCUUAACCCAAAAAUUGCCAUUGAUACUGUUGGUCUUGAGUAUAGUUGCCGUUGGCGGAAUAUGACAUGUAGUGGUGAAAUACAUAGAGAUGUCAUAGAACACCGAUUGCGAAGGCAGCUGACGAAACUAUAACUGACACUGAGGCUCGAAAGUGUGGGGAUCAAGCAGG
rnacentral:rRNA from 1 species